AUGAAGACAAAAGGCGCCUCUUUGAGGGUCUCUCUCUUCAUAACACUGUGCAUUGUUAUUUUAAUACUAUGUAAAGUAAAAGUAUGUAUUGUAUUAUAAAUAUA
rnacentral:misc_RNA from 1 species